rnacentral:rRNA from 1 species
GAUGAACGCUGGCGGCGUGCUUAACACAUGCAAGUCGAACGGGCCAUAUUCGUAUGGUCAGUGGCAGACGGGUGCGUAACACGUAGGUGACCUGCCUCGGAGUGGGGAACAACUCCGCGAAAGCGGAGCUAAUACCGCAUAUGCUCGGUGAUUCGGUUGAUCGAGUAAAGGCGAAAGUCGCUUCGAGAUGGGCCUGCGGCGGAUUAGCUAGUUGGUGGGGUAACGGCCUACCAAGGCGAUGAUCCGUAGGGGGCGUGAGAGCGUGGCCCCCCACAUUGGCACUGAGACACGGGCCAAACUCCUACGGGAGGCUG